rnacentral:rRNA from 3 species
UGCAAGUCGAACGAACUCUGGUAUUGAUUGGUGCUUGCAUCAUGAUUUACAUUUGAGUGAGUGGCGAACUGGUGAGUAACACGUGGGAAACCUGCCCAGAAGCGGGGGAUAACACCUGGAAACAGAUGCUAAUACCGCAUAACAACUUGGACCGCAUGGUCCGAGUUUGAAAGAUGGCUUCGGCUAUCACUUUUGGAUGGUCCCGCGGCGUAUUAGCUAGAUGGUGGGGUAACGGCUCACCAUGGCAAUGAUACGUAGCCGACCUGAGAGGGUAAUCGGCCACAUUGGGACUGAGACACGGCCCAAACUCCUACGGGAGGCAGCAGUAGGGAAUCUUCCACAAUGGACGAAAGUCUGAUGGAGCAACGCCGCGUGAGUGAAGAAGGGUUUCGGCUCGUAAAACUCUGUUGUUAAAGAAGAACAUAUCUGAGAGUAACUGUUCAGGUAUUGACGGUAUUUAACCAGAAAGCCACGGCUAACUACGUGCCAGCAGCCGCGGUAAUACGUAGGUGGCAAGCGUUGUCCGGAUUUAUUGGGCGUAAAGCGAGCGCAGGCGGUUUUUUAAGUCUGAUGUGAAAGCCUUCGGCUCAACCGAAGAAGUGCAUCGGAAACUGGGAAACUUGAGUGCAGAAGAGGACAGUGGAACUCCAUGUGUAGCGGUGAAAUGCGUAGAUAUAUGGAAGAACACCAGUGGCGAAGGCGGCUGUCUGGUCUGUAACUGACGCUGAGGCUCGAAAGUAUGGGUAGCAAACAGGAUUAGAUACCCUGGUAGUCCAUACCGUAAACGAUGAAUGCUAAGUGUUGGAGGGUUUCCGCCCUUCAGUGCUGCAGCUAACGCAUUAAGCAUUCCGCCUGGGGAGUACGGCCGCAAGGCUGAAACUCAAAGGAAUUGACGGGGGCCCGCACAAGCGGUGGAGCAUGUGGUUUAAUUCGAAGCUACGCGAAGAACCUUACCAGGUCUUGACAUACUAUGCAAAUCUAAGAGAUUAGACGUUCCCUUCGGGGACAUGGAUACAGGUGGUGCAUGGUUGUCGUCAGCUCGUGUCGUGAGAUGUUGGGUUAAGUCCCGCAACGAGCGCAACCCUUAUUAUCAGUUGCCAGCAUUAAGUUGGGCACUCUGGUGAGACUGCCGGUGACAAACCGGAGGAAGGUGGGGAUGACGUCAAAUCAUCAUGCCCCUUAUGACCUGGGCUACACACGUGCUACAAUGGAUGGUACAACGAGUUGCGAACUCGCGAGAGUAAGCUAAUCUCUUAAAGCCAUUCUCAGUUCGGAUUGUAGGCUGCAACUCGCCUACAUGAAGUCGGAAUCGCUAGUAAUCGCGGAUCAGCAUGCCGCGGUGAAUACGUUCCCGGGCCUUGUACACACCGCCCGUCACACCAUGAGAGUUUGUAACACCCAAAGUCGGUGGGGUAACCUUUUAGGAACCA